rnacentral:rRNA from 1 species
CCUACGGGUGGCUGCAGUCGAGAAUCAUUCACAAUGGGGGAAACCCUGAUGGUGCGACGCCGCGUGAGUGAAGAAGUAUUUCGGUAUGUAAAGCCCUAUCAGCCGGGAAGAAAAUGACAGUACCUGACCAAGAAGCCCCGGCUAACUACGUGCCAGCAGCCGCGGUAAUACGUAGGGGGCAAGCGUUAUCCGGAUUUAAUGGGUGUUAAGGGAGCGUAGACGGUUAUGUAAGUCUGGAGUGAAAGCCCGGGGCCAAACCCCGGGACUGCUGUGGAAACUGUGUAACUGGAGUACAGGAGGGGCAGGCGGAAUGCCUGGUGUAGCGGUGAAAUGCGUAGAUAUCAGGAGGAACACCGGCGGCGAAGGCGGCCUGCUGGACUGAAACUGACGUUGAGGCUCGAAAGCGUGGGGAGCAAACAGGAUUAGAUACCCCGGUAGUC